UUGUAAUGACGUUGUUUGAUAUUAGGACUAGCAGUAAAACUUUAUAUUCUGUAAAAAAAAGGCUUUUAUUUCCAGCGCCGCCUCCCAGAAUGCUUUGCAUGGGGACGUGCGUCUGACGUCACGUAUUCAGAAAAUUCGAAAUGGCUGCACGCGGGAGGUGAAAAGUGGAAAAGAGUGUUAUUCGUCAAAAAACCCACACAACGACGGUCAUUUUUUCGCCGUGCUAUUGUAAAAUUGUCUUUUAUCUGUGUUUUGUGAAGCCGUGGAGCUCGAGAUCCUGUUUACUGUGGACUAGCUGUGUGUGACGCCAUGUUGUUUUUGUUUCCAUUACAAAAAAAAAGCUCCACCGUCUCGCCGAGUGCCAGCAAGAGUCAUGAGUACUUGUCAACUCGACUCCUCAACUGGAGAUAACUUUCUAGCACCUCACCAUGGGGAAGGAUGUAUUCAUAUGCCUUCACCAGCACCUGCAUUAAACAUGCAGAGAGUUACACAAGUUCUUACCACCUUGGGGCACCAUUCAGGGUGCCUUUUCAUCUGAUUAAAUUUAUAAUGAACAGGGACAUUGCGGUUGUCCCAAGUGGAUGGUAUGAUGAUAGGAUGGUUUUCUGGCCCAGCUAUAAAAACACCGACAGAAUUGAAAGGGCAGCUUUAAAUGAGGAGCAGCAUGAGCCAAACUGGCCAAGAUUUGACGUUUCUGUUGUCCGAACUUGUGACAACUACAAAGACGCAUUAAAAAUAAUGCAACAAUAUGGAAAGGGCUGCGACACCUCAGACCUGCAAUCUGAGGCAGAGAACGAGGAGCUGCCAGAAAAAAGGAACAGGAAGCCAGUCCAUCGUCUCGGGGACUCAGAUGAUAGCGAAGAAGACCCGGGAAAUAGUGACCUCACAUCUCUGGGGUUGGCAAGCCAAUUGCACAGGCAGACUCCACCAUCUCGCCGAGUGCCAGCAAGAGUCAUAAGUACUUGUUAACUCGACUCCUCAACUGGAGAUAACUUUCUAGCACCUCACCAUGGGGAAGGACGCAUUCAUAUGCCUUCACCAGCACCUGCAUUAAACAUGCAGAGAGUUACACAAGGAACGGCAGUCCCUCCUCGACUCCCUCCACCCCCCUCACCAGCAGCCCUCAACAUGUGGCAGACAGAGGAGCCUGGAUCCAGCCUGGCCUACAGGCCAACAUGGCGAGGGGGAAGAAUGGCCGACAACAUUUCCUGCUCUGCGCCUGAGGUAAUCCACAUCCUUAGCCUGCUGGAAACUAUUAAGCACAACCAAGACCAGCUGAUUGCGAAGGUCAACUUCUUAAGCCUUGAAUAGGUGCUGUGAGUAAAAAUGUGUUGACAAGGUCAGCCACGGACGCUGAGGUCACCAAACACGCCAUCAGGUGGUUCAACUUGGCGGGGGAUCGGGCAACGAGGAGACGAGUCCCGCUUCCACCUCCUCAGGAGGAAUAGAGAUGUAUAUGUAUAAAUAAACAACCUUUUAUUGGACUUCUUGUCAUUCACCAGUUAUUCAUUUUCUGAUAUGUUAGCUGUGCAUGGAGCAGCGUUUCCUUGAAGUUGUAGCCUAAUAGAUUAAAUAUGUAUAUUUACUUUUUAAAUAUAUAUUAUAUAUAUUUACUUUAUAGAGUGAAUUGACCAUUUUCUGUUUCUGCCUAUUGACAAUAUUGUUAGUUUAAAAAUACAAGGCAAUGCAUAUGUAAGCCUAUAUUGCUGUAGUAGGGCUUAGUGAAUUUUUUAGUUGCCUAUUUUAUCCUA